GUCCACCGGUGUCCGCCAUUUCAUUCUUGCAAGCCUUGGAAACACUUGGAUUAGCUAACUAGCAGCAUGAAUCGGUGGUCGGCUGCAAACAUGUCUUCAUGUGACUCCAGCUUCAGAAGACACAAGAUUGAGAUGGAUUGAGUUCAUAUAUGAUGGCGACGUUCCUGCCACCACUUUGAAUCAGACUUUUUUAUCAACCUGGGCCAAUAUAACGCUGGAUUCUCUAAAAGGUUGUUAUUGAAAGAGGGGUCGGUGCCAUCUUUCCAUGGCAAUACUGAAGACGAGGGAAAUGCAAGCACAUCUGUUCACGGUGCUAGGCUACAUCACGUAGCAUGCCAGACGGACCCACCACAGAUGCGCACACAUGGAACGCAGCUUUCUAUGUAAACACUGCGACCUCACUACAAAAGUACAGGCACACAGAAAACUGUGCUGCACUGAUGUUGGUGUUGGGACCUCAGCUGUAAGAGACCUCGCUUGGAGGAGGGAGAGGACAAGAUGUGACAUUACAUGGAUAACCUGUUGGACCUCAUCUUUCACGAGGUUUUUCAGGACCCGGCCCCAUAUGUGAAUGAGGUGCUGAAGAUCUCAAAACCUGAGGAUCUCUCUGCCUAGUAUGAGAAACCUGACAAGCAGGAAGUUAUAGCCAGCUAUGUGUCGAGUUUCAAUCAAGGGCAGGUCUGAACCCUGUAUAACUUCCCUGAGCAUCAGGGAACACUCUGCGUAUCUGGAGCACCGAGCAGGAGGGCAGGACCACCCUGAUUCUCCGGCCCAGAGGGCCUCAACACUAGCUCACAAAGCUUCUGUACGCCAAAUCCCUGUAACGGCUGAUCAUAGUUUACAUUGUAUUUAGAGAAUAAAAGGUGACACACAAAUAUAAAGUGUUCCUUUGUUUACAGUAUAGCUACUGAUGGCACAAAUUGUUUUUUUGUAAUGAAUGUAUUUAUUAUACUUGGUAUUUUUUGUAUUUAUUACCUCUGUCCCAGCCAGUACAUUUAAUAACUAUGAUUAAAAAGCUCUGUGGCAAUCUUUCUGACAAUAAAAGUUGAUAGAAACAGUUUUUUAAUGUUUGAUAUGUAACAUGUCAACAAUUGACACGUGUAAGAUGAGCAGUUAGCAAAGUAAUACAGAGGGAAGAGUAAUUUAUGUAUUUUAUUCCUCAGUCAUAAUUUUAUUGCAGAAAUGACUGAUAUCUCAUGCAUAAAAAACUUACUGCUCUAUUCCUUUUAGACAUAAAGGCCCAUAAUCUGCCCUAUAGAUGUUGAAGAACACAUUCAAACAGGCUAAUUAAUGGAGGUAAAAAGGUU